UACGAAGGGGGCUAGCGUUGCUCGGAAUCACUGGGCGUAAAGCGCACGUAGGCGGCUUGUUAAGUCAGGGGUGAAAUCCUGGAGCUCAACUCCAGGACUGCCUUUGAUACUGACGAGCUUGAGUCCGUGAGAGGUGAGUGGAACUGCGAGUGUAGAGGUGAAAUUCGUAGAUAUUCGCAAGAACACCAGUGGCGAAGGCGGCUCACUGGCCCGGUACUGACGCUGAGGUGCGAAAGCGUGGGGAGCAAACAGG
rnacentral:rRNA from 1 species